CAGGGUCUCACUGUAUCGCCCA
rnacentral:miRNA from 1 species